rnacentral:rRNA from 1 species
GAUGAACGCUGGCGGCGUGCUUAACACAUGCAAGUCGAACGAUGAUCCGGUGCUUGCACCGGGGAUUAGUGGCGAACGGGUGAGUAACACGUGAGUAACCUGCCCUUGACUCUGGGAUAAGCCUGGGAAACUGGGUCUAAUACCGGAUAUGACUCCUCAUCGCAUGGGUGGGGGGUGGAAAGUCUUUUUUGUGGUUUUGGAUGGACUCGCGGCCUAUCAGCUUGUUGGUGAGGUAAUGGCUCACCAAGGCGACGACGGGUAGCCGGCCUGAGAGGGUGACCGGCCACACUGGGACUGAGACACGGCCCAGACUCCUACGGGAGGCAGCAGUGGGGAAUAUUGCACAAUGGGCGAAAGCCUGAUGCAGCGACGCCGCGUGAGGGAUGACGGCCU